rnacentral:rRNA from 1 species
UACGUAGGGGGCAAGCGUUGUCCGGAAUCAUUGGGCGUAAAGAGCGUGUAGGCGGCCCGAUAAGUCCGCCGUGAAAGUCCAGGGCUCAACCCUGGAAUGCCGGUGGAAACUGUCGGGCUGGAGUCCGGAAGAGGCGAGUGGAAUUCCUGGUGUAGCGGUGAAAUGCGCAGAUAUCAGGAGGAACACCCAUUGCGAAGGCAGCUCGCUGGGACGUUACUGACGCUGAGACGCGAAAGCGUGGGGAGCAAACAGG